rnacentral:rRNA from 1 species
AUUGAACGCUGGCGGCAUGCUUUACACAUGCAAGUCGAACGGCAGCGCGGGCUUCGGCCUGGCGGCGAGUGGCGAACGGGUGAGUAAUACAUCGGAACGUGCCCAGCAGUGGGGGAUAGCUCGGCGAAAGCCGGAUUAAUACCGCAUACGACCUGAGGGUGAAAGCGGGGGAUCUUCGGACCUCGCGCUAUUGGAGCGGCCGAUGGCGGAUUAGCUAGUUGGUGGGGUAAAGGCCUACCAAGGCGACGAUCUGUAGCUGGUCUGAGAGGACGACCAGCCACACUGGGACUGAGACACGGCCCAGACUCCUACGGGAGGCAGCAGUGGGGAAUUUUGGACAAAGGGCGAAAGCCUGAUCCAGCAAUGCCGCGUGUGUGAUGAAGGCCUUCGGGUUGUAAAGCACUUUUGGCGGGAACGAAAAGGACUGUGCCAAUACCACGGUUCGAUGACGGUACCCGCAGAAUAAGCACCGGCUAACUACGUG